rnacentral:misc_RNA from 1 species
AAUCUAGUGGCAAUUUACCCGAAAUUUCGUCAUAUAAUGUGUUGUUAGGGGCAUAUGCAAGCCAAGGGAACAUUAAGGAUGCAAUGGGGGUGUUUAGGCAGAUGCAAGAGGCCGGGUGUGUUCCAAAUGCAGUGACCUAUAGUACGUUGUUGAAUUUGUAUGGGAGACAUGGGAGAUAUGAUGAUGUUAGGGAGCUUUUCUUGGAGAUGAAAGUUAGUAACACGGAGCCUGAUGUGGCAACAUAUAAUAUACUUAUAGAGGUGUUUGGUGAGGGUGGGUAUUUUAAGGAGGUAGUAACCUUGUUUCAUGAUAUGGUGGAGGAGAAUGUGGAGCCAAAUAUGGGGACUUAUGAGGGGUUGAUAUAUGCUUGUGGUAAAGGAGGGCUACAUGAAGAUGCUAAGAAAAUUUUACUUCAUAUGGAUGAGAAGGGGAUAGUGCCAAGCUCAAAGGCGUAUACCAGCGUUAUUGAAGCAUAUGGACAGGCUGCAUUGUAUGAGGAGGCUGUUGUUAUGUUUAAUACAAUGAAUGAAAUGGGAAGCAAGCCAACUGUUGAGACUUAUAAUUCAUUAAUUUAUAUGUUUGCAAGAGGCGGACUUUACAAGGAAUCUGAAGCAAUUUUGUGGAAAAUGGGUGAAUCUGGGGUUGC